GACACGCUGGCGGCGUGCUUAACACAUGCAAGUCGAACGGAGUUAAGGAGCUUGCUUCUUAACUUAGUGGCGAACGGGUGAGUAACGCGUGAGGAACCUGCCUUUCAGUGGGGGACAACAGUUGGAAACGACUGCUAAUACCGCAUGAUACUAUUGAGCGGCAUCGCUUGAUAGUCAAAGAUUUAUUGCUGAAAGAUGGCCUCGCGUCUGAUUAGCUAGUUGUGGGGUAACGGCCCACCAAGGCGACGAUCAGUAGCCGGACUGAGAGGUUGACCGGCCACAUUGGGACUGAGAUACGGCCCAGACUCCUACGGGAGGCAGCAGUGGGGAAUAUUGGGCAAUGGGCGAAAGCCUGACCCAGCAACGCCGCGUGAAGGAAGAAGGCCUUCGGGUUGUAAACUUCUUUACCAGGGACGAACACAAUGACGGUACCUGGAGAAAAGCAACGGCUAACUACGUG
rnacentral:rRNA from 1 species